rnacentral:misc_RNA from 1 species
UGCCCGAACGAACGUCAAUAA